AGGUCUGUACCCCAAAUCUGGCUGAGAUAUCUGUCAUCCCAUUGAUUUGGCUGAUCUGGCUGGCUAGGCAGGUGUCUGCUUCCUCCCUCACCGCUCCAUGUGCACCCCUCCCUAAGCUGUGCAUUAGGUCAAAGAGGAUGACAUUCCUCAAUAGAGGAGGACUGAUCUUUGUUCAAGGGUAUAAGAGUAUGUGCGCUCCUCUGCUAGAACUUCCAAACAAACUUACAGCAUUUCUAAUGAAACUUUCUAUCUGAUUUAAGAGUACAUUUUUUGAUGUAUCCUUU
rnacentral:snRNA from 1 species